rnacentral:guide_RNA from 1 species
AAUCAUAAUACAGAGCAACGAUAACAGAGAGAUUUAGAUUAAU